AUACCCGCUGAACUUAAGCAUAUCAAUAAGCGGAGGAAAAGAAACCAACAGGGAUUGCCUUAGUAACGGCGAGUGAAGCGGCAAUAGCUCAAAUUUGAAAUCUGGCUCUUUCAGAGUCCGAGUUGUAAUUUGUAGAAGAUGCUUCGGCUUACGUAUCGGUCUAAGUUCCUUGGAACAGGACGUCACAGAGGGUGAGAAUCCCGUUUGUGGCCGGUACUUCCGCCAUGUGAAGCUCCUUCGACGAGUCGAGUUGUUUGGGAAUGCAGCUCUAAAUGGGAGGUAAAUUUCUUCUAAAGCUAAAUAUUGGCCAGAGACCGAUAGCGCACAAGUAGAGUGAUCGAAAGAUGAAAAGCACUUUGGAAAGAGAGUUAAAAAGUACGUGAAAUUGUUGAAAGGGAAGCGCUUGCGACCAGACUUGCCUUUAGUUGCUCCGCCGGUCCUUCGACCGGUGUAUUCUUCUAUUGUCAGGCCAGCAUCAGUUUGGGUGGUUGGAUAAAGGCAUCGGGAAUGUGACUCUCUUCGGGGAGUGUUAUAGCCCUUUGUGCAAUACAGCCUACCUAGACUGAGGACCGCGCUUCGGCUAGGAUGCUGGCGUAAUGGUCGUAAGCGGCCCGUCUUGAAA
rnacentral:rRNA from 2 species